UGGGGAAUAUUGCACAAUGGGGGAAACCCUGAUGCAGCGACGCCGCGUGAACGAAGAAGGUAUUCGUAUCGUAAAGUUCUGUCCUAUGGGAAGAUAAUGACAGUACCAUAGAAGAAAGCUCCGGCUAAAUACGUGCCAGCAGCCGCGGUAAUACGUAUGGAGCGAGCGUUGUCCGGAAUUAUUGGGCGUAAAGGGUACGCAGGCGGUUUAAUAAGUCGAAUGUUAAAGAUCGGGGCUCAACCCCGUAAAGCAUUGGAAACUGAUAAACUUGAGUAGUGGAGAGGAAAGUGGAAUUCCUAGUGUAGUGGUGAAAUACGUAGAUAUUAGGAGGAAUACCAGUAGCGAAGGCGACUUUAUGGACACAAACUGACGCUGAGGUACGAAAGCGUGGGGAGCAAACAGG
rnacentral:rRNA from 1 species